GACAGAGGGUGCAAACGUUGUUCGGAAUUACUGGGCGUAAAGCGCGUGUAGGCGGCCCGGAAAGUCGGAUGUGAAAGCCCUGGGCUUAACCUAGGAAGUGCAUUCGAAACUGCUGGGCUUGAGUUCUGGAGAGGAAGGCGGAAUUCUCGGUGUAGAGGUGAAAUUCGUAGAUAUCGAGAGGAACACCGGUGGUGAAGGCGGCCUUCUGGACAGUGACUGACGCUGAGACGCGAAAGCGUGGGGAGCAAACAGG
rnacentral:rRNA from 1 species